GAUGAACGCUAGCUACAGGCUUAACACAUGCAAGUCGAGGGGAAACGAUAUUGGAAGCUUGCUUCCGAUGGGCGUCGACCGGCGCACGGGUGAGUAACGCGUAUCCAACCUGCCCACCACUUGGGGAUAACCUUGCGAAAGUAAGACUAAUACCCAAUGAUAUCUCUAGAAGACAUCUGAAAGAGAUUAAAGAUUUAUCGGUGAUGGAUGGGGAUGCGUCUGAUUAGCUUGUUGGCGGGGUAACGGCCCACCAAGGCGACGAUCAGUAGGGGUUCUGAGAGGAAGGUCCCCCACAUUGGAACUGAGACACGGUCCAAACUCCUACGGGAGGCAGCAGUGAGGAAUAUUGGUCAAUGGACGAGAGUCUGAACCAGCCAAGUAGCGUGCAGGAAGACGGCCCUAUGGGUUGUAAACUGCUUUUAUAAGGGAAUAAAGUGAGUCUCGUGAGACUUUCUGCAUGUACCUUAUGAAUAAGGACCGGCUAAUUCCGUGCCAGCAGCCGCCGUAA
rnacentral:rRNA from 1 species